GGUCCAUUUUCUAUCUCGGGUGUCAUGGAUUCGCGAUUUCCAACCGUCUAAAUCUAUUAUGGGUUUCUGACCAUCUUUUGGCAUCGGCUAUCUCGGUCAUGAUCACUAAACGAAUAGUGGGUAUGAGAUUUAUCGAUACACUAGAGGUUGCAAAAUUUUUGUGAAAAUAUUCUGUGAUUUGGUUAGCCGACUAAAUGAAAACUUCAUUUCACUUCAAACUACGACUACUGUAUUUAUCAAAUCUUUAAUUUGCCGCAUUAUUUAGAAAAAUGGCGAUACUGGAAGCUAUUGUCAAAUGAUUGUCAAAACAAACUGCAAGGAACCAUCCAAAACAGAGAUUGAUUUUGGAUGGCGCCUUUAAGAAAAGUCUCAGAUCGACAAAUGGACAUUUUGUUGGAGUUCGUUGAAAGACAUAAAGAGCUUGCUGUUGGCCGGUACCCUCCCGGCCCACUAGGCAUACAAUCAGCACGUUGGCUAUGGGACAGUGCAGCAUUACAAAUACCUAUAUGAAUUAUAUUCAAUUGGGUCUGGAGUUACAAAAACUGGUAAAAAAUUCUGACGGGCAUUCACAUGAAAAGUGACAAUGUGCAAUCAUAACUUAAAGGUUAAAGUAGAAAAAUUAUUUUAAUAAUGAUUAUAGUAAGACUGGUAGAAGCAAAAUGUGAUAAGAAGUUAUGUGAUUUAAAAUCAAAAAUAAAAGCCAUUAAUAUAAAUUGUGUUUUUUAUUACUAAAUUAUACAUAUACAGCAAAAAUCAGCCUAUCAGUCAUGUUAUUUUAGUUCCUUGAAAUUCACAGCCUCUGGACAAGGUUGGCCCUCAUGCGCCCUGCAUCUGCAUCAGCAGCACCAUAAGCCACGUUACCAAUAUGCUGCACCCGAAUGUUACCAGCAGCAGGCAAGUUGUCGUCACUGGUAUAUUGUGUGCAUUUGCUAUAUUGUGUAGUAUACAGCAGUCAUUUACUAUUUUCGCAGCUUUGGUGGGCUCAUAGUGAAGCACACGGUGUGCCAGCAAACAUCUCCAGCGUGUUUUAAGGGCCCCAAUGCACCGCUCCACAGUAUUUCUGACACGGCAAUGUAGAU